GAAGUAUAAAUUACUACCCUGGACAUGCCUGAUCUUGUCUGAUCCUGGAAGCUAAGCAGGGUUGGGCCUGGUUAGUACUUGGAUAGGAGGCAGCACUUGUCUUUGACUAGA
ensembl:rRNA 5S_rRNA 5S ribosomal RNA